AUUGAACGCUGGCGGCAGGCCUAACACAUGCAAGUCGAGCGGAAACGAGUUAUCUGAACCUUCGGGGAACGAUAACGGCGUCGAGCGGCGGACGGGUGAGUAAUGCCUAGGAAAUUGCCCUGAUGUGGGGGGUAACCAUUGGAAACGAUGGCUAAUACCGCAUGAUGCCUACGGGCCAAAGAGGGGGACCUUCGGGCCUCUCGCGUCAGGAUAUGCCUAGGUGGGAUUAGCUAGUUGGUGAGGUAAGGGCUCACCAAGGCAACGAUCCCUAGCUGGUCUGAGAGGAUGAUCAGCCACACUGGAACUGAGACACGGUCCAGACUCCUACGGGAGGCAGCAGUGGGGAAUAUUGCACAAUGGGCGCAAGCCUGAUGCAGCCAUGCCGCGUGUAUGAAGAAGGCCUUCGGGUUGUAAAGUACUUUCAGUCGUGAGGAAGGCGUUGUCGUUAAUAGCGGCAUCGUUUGACGUUAGCGACAGAAGAAGCACCGGCUAACUCCGUGCCAGCAGCCGCGGUAAUACGGAGGGUGCGAGCGUUAAUCGGAAUUACUGGGCGUAAAGCGCAUGCAGGUGGUUUGUUAAGUCAGAUGUGAAAGCCCGGGGCUCAACCUCGGAAUAGCAUUUGAAACUGGCAGACUAGAGUACUGUAGAGGGGGGUAGAAUUUCAGGUGUAGCGGUGAAAAUGCGUAGAGAUCUGAAGGAAUACCGGUGGGCGAAAGCGGCCCCCUGGACAGAUACUGAUACUCAUAUGCUAAAACGUGGGGAGCAAAAAGGAUUGAUACCCCUGGUGGUCCCAAUGGCGAAUUUCACCCUUGGACGUCAACCUAUCGAUACCGUUCGAUCUUUAGGGGGAAGUGCAGUUUCAACUAUUGUU
rnacentral:rRNA from 1 species